rnacentral:rRNA from 1 species
GAUGAACGCUGGCGGCGUGCCUAAUGCAUGCAAGUCGAGCGAAUGGAUUAAGAGCUUGCUCUUAUGAAGUUAGCGGCGGACGGGUGAGUAACACGUGGGUAACCUGCCCAUAAGACUGGGAUAACUCCGGGAAACCGGGGCUAAUACCGGAUAACAUUUUGAACCGCAUGGUUCGAAAUUGAAAGGCGGCUUCGGCUGUCACUUACGGAUGGACCCGCGUCGCAUUAGCUAGUUGGUGAGGUAACGGCUCACCAAGGCAACGAUGCGUAGCCGACCUGAGAGGGUGAUCGGCCACACUGGGACUGAGGCACGGCCCAGACUCCUACGGGAGGCAGCAGUAGGGAAUCUUCCGCAAUGGACGAAAGUCUGACGGAGCAACGCCGCGUGAGUGAUGAAGGCUUUCGGGUCGUAAAACUCUGUUGUUAGGGAAGAACAAGUGCUAGUUGAAUAAGCUGGCACCUUGACGGUACCUAACCAGAAAGCCACGGCUAACUACGUGCCAGCAGCCGCAGUAA